rnacentral:rRNA from 1 species
UACGUAGGGGGCAAGCGUUGUCCGGAAUCAUUGGGCGUAAAGCGCGUGUAGGCGGUUCGGUAAGUCGGCUGUGAAAGUCCAGGGCUCAACCCUGGGAUGCCGGUCGAUACUGCCGGACUAGAGUUCGGAAGAGGCGAGUGGAAUUCCCGGUGUAGCGGUGAAAUGCGCAGAUAUCGGGAGGAACACCAAUGGCGAAGGCAGCUCGCUGGGACGUUACUGACGCUGAGACGCGAAAGCGUGGG